rfam:Heterocephalus glaber contig189774, whole genome shotgun sequence.
GGUUGUGAGGGCGAUCUGGCUGUGACAUCUGUCAUCCCAUUGAUCACCAGGGUGGAUUUGGCUGAUCUGGGUGGGUGGGUGUCCCCUUCCUCCCUCACUGCUCCAUGUGUGUCCCUCCUGAAGCUGGGCUCUCGGUCAAAGAGGACGCCCAUCCCCAAUAGAGGAGCACCCUUUCUAGUGUAAAGGAGUAGCUGCGCUCCCCUGCUAGAACCUCCUAACAAGCUCUCAAGAAAAAAAGAAAGAAAGAAAAAAGAAGCUACAUGAUCUCUGGAGGAUCAGCCACUCCAUUUUUGU